rnacentral:rRNA from 1 species
UACGGAAGGCAGCAGUGGGGAAUAUUGCACAAUGGGCGCAAGCCUGAUGCAGCCAUGCCGCGUGUAUGAAGAAGGCCUUCGGGUUGUAAAGUACUUCCAGUCGUGAGGAAGGUGUUAAGGUUAAUAACCUUAGCAAUUGACGUUAGCGACAGAAGAAGCACCGGCUAACUCCGUGCCAGCAGCCGCGGUAAUACGGAGGGUGCGAGCGUUAAUCGGAAUUACUGGGCGUAAAGGGCACGCAGGCGGUUAAUUAAGUUGGAUGUGAAAUCCCCGGGCUUAACCUGGGAAUGGCAUUCAAGACUGGUUAGCUAGAGUCUUGUAGAGGGGGUAGAAUUCCAUGUGUAGCGGUGAAGUGCGUAGAGAUGUGGAGGAAUACCGGUGGCGAAGGCGGCCCCUGGACAAAGACUGACGCUCAUGUGCGAAAGCGUGGGGAGCAAACGAGGAUUAGAUACC